rnacentral:rRNA from 1 species
GACGUAGGGCGCAAGCGUUGUCCGGAAUUAUUGGGCGUAAAGAGCUCGUAGGCGGUCUGUCACGUCGGCUGUGAAAACCCGAGGCUCAACCUCGGGCCUGCAGUCGAUACGGGCAAACUAGAGUACUGCAGGGGAGACUGGAAUUCCUGGUGUAGCGGUGAAAUGCGCAGAUAUCAGGAGGAACACCGGUGGCGAAGGCGGGUCUCUGGGCAGUAACUGACGCUGAGGAGCGAAAGCGUGGGGAGCGAACAGG